GCAUGUGUGUGUGUGUGUGGUGUCCAAGUGCACACAGGUGUGUGUGUCAGUGGGGGGCCGUGUGUGUGUGUUGAGUUGAAACAGCUGUCUCCAGUACAGCCCUCUGAGGACUCGUUCCCUGAGCUCCUCAGGUGAUCUGGACGACGUGUUUCUCUGAUGAAUUCAUCUUUUCGAGUCACUCCACCCUGCUGCAGUUUUCAGUUCACUGAUCUGUUGGCUCACGUGUGAGGCCGGUUUUAUAUAUUUCACAUGCAUGAAUGUAAAUCUAGAAUUGAAAGACUCUAGGGAAACGACCAGAGUCCCUACCUUUGACUACAUCGUGUGUAAGUGUGUAUAAACUAUGCCCGUUAUACAGCGGAUUGCUGUUGUGUUGCUGUUUUUCUCCUAUCAUUUCCCUGCAGCAACAGGCGCUCCUCUCUUGACCCCCAUCCUCGAGUGUUUCUUUAUCAUCGAUCUGCCUGCAUUUCAAAACGAUGAGAGCAGUGACUGAGCAGUGACCCCGGCCCCCACCCGAGAAUUGAUGAGGCUCCGCAGUAUCGGGAGAAGUUUCUGCUAACAUUGAUUACAAAACACCUAUAGAGAUGACUAUCGUGUUGUCGUGCGAAGGGGCAGUUAAUAUCUGCGCGCAUGAAAUAACUGCAUCUGCCCGGGAGCAUUUUUUCUUCGCUCUAACGACAUAUGAAAAUUCGGACCAAAUUGAUCACAGCAGUGGUGCUUUCGAUAUCGAUGUGGGUGGGGCUUGAGCGAAUCAGAACGUGAGGUCACGUUCUCAAGGCUAGUAGCCUAUAAGACAGCAUUUGUCAUGAAUGCAGGAAUCUUUCUGAUUUUGACAGAAGACUAACACGUCGAUAGAAGAGAGGAAAUGGCAUCACAUUUGGUUUUCCAGAUGUCGGGCCCUCGCCAGUGCACCGUUGAGAUUGAAAAUGCUACCAAGUCCUACCACCUUGCUGGACCAAGAACGCACAUGGUAAGUGGAGUCUGCAGCAAACCAUUGCCAUUCGAAGUACAACCAGGGACAAAAUAUGAAGCCUUAUUUGUCAAGACACCAGGCUCUGCAAGAGGCGCCGUUGGCGUCUUCACUUACGACCUAUGCAAGACCGGUUCAAGCUGCAGUGAGAAAAUUGCCGUCAUGUUUUCUGUGCCAUUUGACUACAGAAUCUACUCCAACUGGUAUGCAGUGGGAGUUUUCGACAGCAACAAAAGAUGUGAUGGGGAACUUUACAAUGAGUUGUACAACAGCAAUCACAGUGGUCUUUUGAGAGGGGCAGCCAAAUAUGACCCUAUUCGCCAUACACACGGUAAUUUAGUCAUUGAUGCUGCAAUGUCAAACACCCACACUCCGCACUUGUUGGUGAAAGUUCAUCAAGAUAAGAAAGGAAAGCUCAGUUUGCCGAAAUUCAGAAUUAUGGCUGUACACAUAGGUAAACUAGUAGAAGCUGUCGUUAAUGAUAUCGGUGUUUAAUUGUGUACAGUGGUACAAAGUAACGCGCUACAGUAGCGAUAUUACUUUUUUGGGUAACGAAGUGAAGUAACGCAUUCCAUAAAAAAUAUCGGUAACUACACUACUUUCCUAGGCUAUAGUAACGCGCUUUCUUGUGUUACCCAAGCCGUGUUUAACUGCGUGUAAAGUUCUGAUCAGUUGUGGUGCGUGCAUGCGUGCUUGCCUGUGUGUCUGCAGCGCCUGCUUGCCUCGGCACGUUGCCAUAGCGAUCGAUUUGAGUGACGUAGCUGCUUGUGGGAAGGAGUGUUCAAGUGUCGGAGCGCAGAAGCAGGUGACGCAGAAAGAACGGCUGGUUGCAGGCUUCAUUGUGGAAGACAUGCUCCCCCUGUCGACUAUUGAAUCGCCCAGAUUUAGAAAAAAUAGUAGAUAGAAUACCCGCGACUCGCAAGCCAACAUCCGACAAGGAAAACAUUUUCCCAUUACCUGAACAAGUGUUAUACUACGGAAGAGGAUUAG